GACGAACGCUGGCGGCGCGCUUAACACAUGCAAGUCGAGCGAAGCGGCGGACGGGUGAGUAACACGUGAGUAACCUGCCUUAGACAUUGGGAUAGCCUCGGGAAAACGGGAUUAAUACCAAAUGGUCUGAGAUGGACUCGCGUCCCAUUAGCUAGUUGGUGCGGAAACGGCCCCCCAAGGCGACGAUGGGUAGCCGGCCUGGGAGGGUGAACGGCCACAUGUGAACUGAGAAACGGUCCAAACUCUACGGUAGGCAGCAGUGGGGAAUAUUGAACAAGGGAGGGAACUCUGAUGCAGCGACGCCGCGUGAACGAAGAAGGCUGUCGAGUCGUAAAGUUCUUUUAUAUGGGAAGCGGUACCAUAAGAAAAAGCCCCGGCUAACUACGUGCCAGCAGCCGCGGUAAUAC
rnacentral:rRNA from 1 species